CCAACAGCCCUGGAGACUGAAGUCAUCUCUUAAUCCACAGAAGAGAUAGUGGCAGUACAGAUUUACCCAUUCUGUCAUAGAAUCAGAAUCAUAGAAGAUUAGAGUUGGAAGAGACCUCAGGAGGUCAUCUAGUCCAAUGCCCUGCU
rnacentral:sRNA from 1 species